AUUGAACGCUGGCGGUAUGCCUUACACAUGCAAGCCGAACGGUAGAGGGGCAACCCUUGAGAGUGGCGAACGGGUGAGUAAUACAUCGGAACGUGCCCAGUCGUGGGGGAUAACGUAGCGAAAGCUACGCUAAUACCGCAUACGACCUGAGGGUGAGAGCGGGGGAUCGCAAGACCCCGCGCGAUUGGAGCGGCCGAUGGCAGAUUAGGUAGUUGGUGGGGUAAAGGCCUACCAAGCCUGCGAUCUGUAGCUGGUCUGAGAGGACGACCAGCCACACUGGGACUGAGACACGGCCCAGACUCCUACGGGAGGCAGCAGUGGGGAAUUUUGGACAAUGGGCGCAAGCCUGAUCCAGCCAUACCGCGUGCGGGAAGAAGGCCUUCGGGUUGUAAACCGCUUUUGUCAGGGAAGAAAUCUUCUGGGCUAAUACCUCGGGAGGAUGACGGUACCUGAAGAAUAAGCACCGGCUAACUACGUGCCAGCAGCCGCCGUAAAAC
rnacentral:rRNA from 1 species